rnacentral:rRNA from 1 species
AUUGAACGCUGGCGGCAUGCCUUACACAUGCAAGUCGAACGGUAACGGGCCUUCGGGUGCCGACGAGUGGCGAACGGGUGCGUAAUACAUCGGAACGUGCCCGAUCGUGGGGGAUAACGCGGCGAAAGCUUUGCUAAUACCGCAUACGAUCUACGGAUGAAAGCAGGGGACCGCAAGGCCUUGCGCGGACGGAGCGGCCGAUGGCAGAUUAGGUAGUUGGUGGGAUAAAAGCUUACCAAGCCGACGAUCUGUAGCUGGUCUGAGAGGAUGAUCAGCCACACUGGGACUGAGGCACGGCCCAGACUCCUACGGGAGGCAGCAGUGGGGAAUUUUGGACAAUGGGCGCAAGCCUGAUCCAGCCAUGCCGCGUGCAGGAUGAAGGCCUUCGGGUUGUAAACUGCUUUUGUACGGAACGAAAAGCCUUCUUUUAAUACAGGAGGGUCAUGACGGUACCGUAAGAAUAAGCACCGGCUAACUACGUG